GUUGCCGAGAAAAACACAGAACGUAUAAAUCUUUCGCCUUUUACUAAAGAUUUCCGUGUGUUUAUUUCGUUAAGGCACAUAUGUGUGUUUCUUUGCCUAGUAUUACUAGGU
rfam:Blastocystis sp. NandII AV274scaffold_129, whole genome shotgun sequence.